UUGGAGAGUUUGAUCCUGGCUCAGGACGAACGCUGGCGGCGUGCCUAAUACAUGCAAGUCGAGCGGACCAAUGAAGAGCUUGCUCUUCGGCGGUUAGCGGCGGACGGGUGAGUAACACGUAGGCAACCUGCCUGUACGACUGGGAUAACUCCGGGAAACCGGAGCUAAUACCGGAUACUUCUUUCAGACCGCAUGGUCUGAAAGGGAAAGAC
rnacentral:rRNA from 1 species